rnacentral:sRNA from 1 species
GCAGGCCGAAUUACACUCCUAGCCCCUGCCCCGCCCAGGCGGGGGGUGUCUGCCUGGUGAGCAGCGCCAGGGGAGUGUAAACAAACAACACAGGCUAGCCUGGGUUCUGGAAACCUUUCUAAAGAAUCGCUUGUGUUUUGUUUGAAGGCUCAACCACAGGAAUUAUCUCUUGGAAUCUCCGCAUAGGUUCAGUGUUGCUGACCUCCAGCAGAUCGCAGACGGGGUGUAUGAAGGAUUCCUCAAGGCCCUGAUUGAAUUUGCCUCCCAGCAUGUCUACCACUGCGACCUGUGCACCCAGCGCGGCUUCAUCUGCCAGAUCUGCCAGCACCACG